UGGAGAGUCGUCUAAUGGUAGGACAGCUGACUCUGGAUCAGCCGGUGGGGGUUCGAAUCCUCCCUCUCCAGCCA
rnacentral:tRNA from 1 species